UAGGGAAUCUUCGGCAAUGGGGGGAACCCUGACCGAGCAACGCCGCGUGAGUGAAGAAGGUUUUCGGAUCGUAAAGCUCUGUUGGUAAGGAAGAACGAGUGUGAGAAUGGAAAGUUCAUGCUGUGACGGUACUUAACCAGAAAGGGACGGCUAACUACGUGCCAGCAGCCGCGGUAAUACGUAGGUCCCGAGCGUUGUCCGGAUUUAUUGGGCGUAAAGCGAGCGCAGGCGGUUAGAAAAGUCUGAAGUGAAAGGCAGUGGCUCAACCAUUGUAGGCCUUGGAAACUGUUUAACUUGAGUGCAGAAGGGGGGAGUGGAAUUCCAUGUGUAGCGGUGAAAUGCGUGGAUAUAUGGAGGAACACCGGUGGCGAAAGCGGCUCUCUGGUCUGUAACUGACGCUGUGACUCGAAAGCGUGGGGAGCGAACAGG
rnacentral:rRNA from 1 species